UUCAUUAUAUAUAUAUAUCGACUUUCACUAUAUAUAUAUCAACUUUCAUUAUAUAUAUAUCAAGUUUCAUUAUAUAUAUAUAUCAACUUUCAUUAUAUAUAUAUCAAGUUUCAUUAUAUAUAUAUCGACUUUCAUUAUAUAUAUAUAUCAACUUUCAUUAUAUAUAUAUCAAAUCUUUUUUUCCUACCGAGCCCCGGAAGGGACAUGUCCGUAUGGCGAAGCGACAACGAAGGACACUCACCCGGACGAGAAUUUUAUUGAGUUUUAUUUUAAAAUCGGCCUGAAACACACAGACAUUCAAGCAGUGCGAUGCGCUAAGAGUCUGCCAUGCAGACCAGCGAUCCUGAUAAUGUUGUCGGCCUUGGAUGAUGAGGUCCAGUUACCAGGAGCACUAGUCUGCAGCUUACUGGUUCCGUCCUGCAGCUCCUCCACGCUGUCCUCCUCUCUACAGACCAAAUCAAGAAAAGGGAACCAGGAAGCUGCUGUGGAUCCUCUGCAGUAUCUGGAGAGGUCAGAGGAACGGUUCUUGGAACAGAUCGGAAGACACCAAGACGUGACCUCUGCCAUGCUCCAGAACAUCCAGAAGAUGAAUGAAAACCUUGGUUGCACUGAUGGGACGCAUGGUGUCGGUGCUGGAGCAACUGUCCCAGAAUUAAACUGCAUUGUUGACUAUUGGCUUUUCUAGAAAAUAAAUCUUUUUAGUACUUCA